rnacentral:rRNA from 1 species
AGCGAACGCUGGCGGCAGGCCUAACACAUGCAAGUCGAACGAACUCUUCGGAGUUAGUGGCGGACGGGUGAGUAACACGUGGGAACGUGCCCUUUGGUUCGGAAUAACUCAGGGAAACUUGUGCUAAUACCGAAUGUGCUCUUCGGGGGAAAGAUUUAUCGCUAUUAGAGCGGCCCGCGUCUGAUUAGCUAGUUGGUGAGGUAACGGCUCACCAAGGCGACGAUCAGUAGCUGGUCUGGGAGGAUGACCCACCACACUGGGAAUGCGGCACGGCCUAGAAUCCGACGGAGGGGAGGAGAAGGGAAUAUUACGGGAUGGGGCAAAACCUAGCACAGCCGUGCCGGGUGAAAGGUGAAGGGCUUAGGAUUGUGAAAUUGUUUCAGCGGGGGCGUUAGUGACGGUACCCGGUAAAGAAGCCCCGGCUAACUUCGUG